GAUGAACGCUGGCGGCGUGCCUAAUACAUGCGAGUCGAGCGAACAGACGAGGAGCUUGCUCCUCUGACGUUAGCGGCGGACGGGUGAGUAACACGUGGAUAACCUACCUAUAAGACUGGGAUAACUUCGGGAAACCGGAGCUAAUACCGGAUAAUAUAUUGAACCGCAUGGUUCAAUAGUGAAAGACGGUUUUGCUGUCACUUAUAGAUGGGUCCGCGCCGCAUUAGCUAGUUGGUAAGGUAACGGCUUACCAAGGCAACGAUGCGUAGCCGACCUGAGAGGGUGAUCGGCCACACUGGAACUGAGACACGGUCCAGACUCCUACGGGAGGCAGCAGUAGGGAAUCUUCCGCAAAGGGCGAAAGCCUGACGGAGCAACGCCGCGUGAGUGAUGAAGGUCUUCGGAUCGUAAAACUCUGUUAUUAGGGAAGAACAAAUGUGUAAGUAACUAUGCACGUCUUGACGGUACCUAAUCAGAAAGCCACGGCUAACUACGUG
rnacentral:rRNA from 1 species